GGGACGCUGAAGGGCACACCUGGAAGGUGACCCUGCAAACAAUGCAGACCUCUCACUGUGAGUAAAGCACCCUAGAAGGAGAAUGACAGUAACCUGGAGUUCAUCUCUUUAAAAGAAACACCAGUCAGGGAUGGAGAUGUCUGCUCAUGGAUGAGAAGUUGCUUCUCUAGAAUUCACAUCGUGAACCAUUCAAGGUUUUUCAUCACUGCUCUCCGUCAGCUAUUCAAUCAAGCAUUGAGUUUCUAGAAUCUCUCCCAGAAAUAAAAGCUG
rnacentral:lncRNA from 1 species